rnacentral:ncRNA from 1 species
GUCUAGAUUGGUUCUGAGAGCAGAACAGUGGCCAUGGAAGUUGGAUUCUGCUAAGGAGUGUGUAACAACUCACCUGCCAAAUCAACUUGCC